AUAGCGUAUAUUUAAGUUGUUGCAGUUAAAAAGNCUCGUAGUCGGAUUUUGGCUGAGAACGGUCGGUCCGCCGUUAGGUGUGCACUGACUGGUCUCAGCUUCCUGGUGAGGAGGUGUGCUUCACGGCCACUUAGUCACCGUGGUUACUUUGAAAAAAUUAGAGUGUUCAAAGCGGGCUUACGCUUGAAUAUAUUAGCAUGGAAUAACACCAUAGGACUCCUGUCCUAUUUCGUUGGUCUCGGGACGGGAGUAAUGAUUAAGAGGAACAGUUGGGGGCAUUCGUAUUUCAUUGUCAGAGGUGAAAUUCUUGGAUUUAUGAAAGACGAACUUCUGCGAAAGCAUUUGCCAAGGAUGUUUUCAUUGAUCAAGAACGAAAGUUGGGGGCUCGAAGAUGAUUAGAUACCAUCCUAGUCUCAACCAUAAACGAUGCCGACUAGGGAUUGGCGGAUGUUAAUUGAUGACUUCGCCAGCACCUUAUGAGAAAUCAAAGUUUUUGGGUUCCGGGGGGAGUAUGGUCGCAAGGCUGAAACUUAAAGGAAUUGACGGAAGGGCACCACCAGGCGUGGAGCCUGCGGCUUAAUUUGACUCAACACGGGGAAA
rnacentral:rRNA from 1 species